rnacentral:lncRNA from 1 species
CCAUGCCUACAGCCUACCAAAGACUUCCCUUCACAAUGGACUGCGAUGUGGUGUGGAUGCACACGUACUCCUGUUUGGACAUCUCAAGCUAAGUGUUUGCCUGAUUCAUUGCAUCAUGCCAUACCCAGAGCCCCUCUAACUGCUGUCUCACGGGGCAGAAAAAUCAAGACAGAGCUGAGACAUAUUGCAGUGACACAUUCAGAAAUGUUUACAGUGCUACCAAAGCAAAGAAGCUGGUCUGAAACAGGCCCACUUAGAUGAUCUAAAAAGCAAUGACUGUGCCUGACUGAACAAGCAGUUUUGGAAGGAUCUCAGACUUCCCUGUGAGCUCUCUUGGCACCGCCAUCUUUAUCUUUCUUCCAGUCCAGCCCCUAAGACUCCCGAGGACACAGGAGAAAUGAAGAUGUGAAGUAUUCAAGUAAAUGGAAUGGCAAGUUAAUGGAGAC